rnacentral:misc_RNA from 1 species
AAUUCUCAACCUUUCCAGCUUUUGCUAGCUUGGGUUAGGCUUGGAUGUGGGAGUUGCGGGCUUCUCAGAAGUCGGCUCUCCUUAAAUGCAUUAGUGAAACCUUUGUUGACCAUCUUUGGUGUGAUAAUUAUCUACGCUGUUGAAAGUCAUCAUUAUAGAGGUUCUGCUUCUAACUGUCCUCUAGGGGACAACUUUUGAC